rnacentral:rRNA from 1 species
UACGGGGGGGGCAAGCGUUGUUCGGAUUCACUGGGUUUAAAGGGUGCGUAGGUGGGUUGGUAAGUCAGUGGUGAAAUCCCCGAGCUUAACUUGGGAACUGCCAUUGAUACUAUCAGUCUUGAAUACCGUGGAGGUCAGCGGAAUAUGUCAUGUAGCGGUGAAAUGCUUAGAUAUGACAUAGAACACCAAUUGCGAAGGCAGCUGGCUACUCGGAUAUUGACACUGAGGCACGAAAGCGUGGGGAUCAAACAGG